rnacentral:rRNA from 1 species
GACGUAGGGCGCGAGCGUUGUCCGGAUUUAUUGGGCGUAAAGAGCUCGUAGGCGGCUUGUCGCGUCGACUGUGAAAACCCGUGGCUCAACCAUGUGGUCUGCAGUCGAUACGGGCAGGCUAGAAUUCGGUAGGGGAGACUGGAAUUCCUGGUGUAGCGGUGAAAUGCGUAGAUAUCGGGAAGAACACCAGUGGCGAAAGCGCUCUACUGGGCCAUAACUGACACUGAGGGACGAAAGCUAGGGGAGCGAAAGGG